rnacentral:rRNA from 1 species
UAACAAGGAUUCCCCUAGUAACUGCGAGUGAAGCGGGAAGAGCUCAAAUUUAAAAUCUGGCGGUUCUGCCGUCCGAGUUGUAAUCUGGAGAAGCGUUUUCUGUGCUGGACCGUGCAUAAGUGUCUUGGAAUAGGACGUCAUAGAGGGUGAGAAUCCCGUCUUUGGCACGGACUACCAGUGCUCUGUGAUACGCUCUCAAAGAGUCGAGUUGUUUGGGAAUGCAGCUCAAAAUGGGUGGUAAAUUCCAUCUAAAGCUAAAUAUAGGCGAGAGACCGAUAGCGAACAAGUACCGUGAGGGAAAGAUGAAAAGCACUUUGGAAAGAGAGUUAAACAGUACGUGAAAUUGUUGAAAGGGAAACGCUUGAAGUCAGUCGCGUUGUCCAGGACUCAACCUUAGUUUUCUUUGGUGUAUUUCCUGGUUAACGGGUCAACAUCAAUUUUGAUCGGUGGACAAAGGCAGGGGAAAUGUGGCACCCUCGGGUGUGUUAUAGUCUCUUGUCAUAUACACUGGUUGGGAUUGAGGAUAUCACGCCCUCGGCGGUAGGAUGUUGGCAUAAUGGCUUUAAGCGACCCGUCUUGAAACACGGACCAAGGAGUCUAACAUGCCUGCGAGUGUUAGGGUGGUAAACCCUUGCGCGUAAUGAAAGUGAAAGUUGGGACCUCUUUGAGGGCACCGACGCCCGGCCUUGAACUCUUGUGACGGUGCUGCGGUAGAGCAUGUAUGUUGGGACCCGAAAGAUGGUGAACUAUGCCUGAAUAGGGCGAAGCCAGAGGAAACUCUGGUGGAGGCUCGUAGCGAUUCUGACGUGCAAAUCGAUCGUCAAAUUUGGGUAUAGGGGCGAAAGACUAAUCGAACCAUCUAGUAGCUGGUUCCUGCCGA